rnacentral:sRNA from 1 species
AUGUUCUUGCAGAUAGUCAUUGUGGGAGAAAACGUUUCAUUUAAGUCCCAGAUGAGGACCGAAAACUUGAAAUCAGAGGAGCAUCUGAAAUCAAGUAAUAUUAGGCAGGCAGAAGUCCUGAAGGCUGACAUGACAGGUAUUGGCUGGCUUAUUUCUUUUUCACAACAUAUUUUAUAUAUUAAAUUAAUGGAAGGAUAGCCUCUUUCUUAUAUUACGCACAGCACUAAAUCCCAUCUUAGUUGCCAAAAGGGAUGAUCAUUUACUAUCUGCUUUAAAUAUUUAUUGUUUAUGUAGUUUGAAUUCUUGCUUAAAUAACUGUUGGGAAUUGCAUGUAAUAUUAAUAUAUGGUAUACUGAAUUGAAUGUUACCUAAUUUAGUUUAUAUAAUCACUUAAUUUUUAUGAAACUUUUUAUUAAUGAUUUAAGACAUACAGAAAAAAUAACAUACCCCAUAUAAACCAAAAUAUCUUACAGUGUUAGGCUAAUAUCUUUCUGGGAAAUUUUUUUUUCUAUUAAUAAUUAACCAAACUUUAGUAGGUAAACCUUCAGAAAAAAUAUGUAUAGAAAAAUUCUAUUAGAAGUCCUUGAAAUUGAGUGAGCUACCUUGCUGCCUUUCUUUUCUCCC